AGUGAACGCUGGCGGUAGGCCUAACACAUGCGAGUCGAACGGCAGCACAGUAAGAGCUUGCUCUUACGGGUGGCGAGUGGCGGACGGGUGAGGAAUACAUCGGAAUCUACUUUUUCGUGGGGGAUAACGUAGGGAAACUUACGCUAAUACCGCAUACGACCUACGGGUGAAAGCAGGGGAUCUUCGGACCUUGCGCGAAUGAAUGAGCCGAUGUCGGAUUAGCUAGUUGGCGGGGUAAAGGCCCACCAAGGCGACGAUCCGUAGCUGGUCUGAGAGGAUGAUCAGCCACACCGGAACUGGGACACGGUCCAGACUCCUACGGGAGGCAGCAGUGGGGAAUAUUAGACAAUGGGCGCAAGCCUGAUCCAGCCAUACCGCGUGGGUGAAGAAGGCCUUCGGGUUGUAAAGCCCUUUUGUUGGGAAAGAAAAGCAGCAGGUUAAUACCCCGCUGUUCUGACGGUACCCAAAGAAUAAGCACCGGCUAACUUCGUG
rnacentral:rRNA from 1 species